rnacentral:rRNA from 1 species
AACGAACGCUGGCGGCAUGCCUAACACAUGCAAGUCGAACGAAACCUUCGGGUCUAGUGGCGCACGGGUGCGUAACGCGUGGGAACCUGCCCUUAGGUUCGGAAUCACUCCCCGAAAGGGGUGCUAAUACCGGAUAAUGUCUUCGGACCAAAGAUUUAUCGCCUUUGGAUGGGCCCGCGUUGGAUUAGCUAGUUGGUAGGGUAAAAGCCUACCAAGGAGACGAUCCUUAGCUGGUAGGAGAGGAGGAUAAGCCACACUGGGACUGAGACACGGACCAGACUCCUACGGGAGGCAGCAGUGGGGAAUACUGGACAAGGGGCGAAAGUCUGAUACAGCAAUGCCGCGGGAGAGAUGAAGGCCUUAGGGUUGUAAAGCUCUUUUACCCGGGAUGAUAAUGACAGUACCGGGAGAAGAAGCACCGGCUAACUCCGUG